ensembl:lncRNA
AGAACGGGACAAUUUUCCUGUCCCCUCAUGCCAGAACGGGACAAUUUUCCUGUCCCUUAUACCAGAACGGGACAAUUUUCCUGUCCCCUCUCCCAGGAUGGGACAAUUUUCGUGUCCCUUAUCCCAGGUUGGGACAAUUUUCCUGUCCCUUAUCCCAGGUUGGGACAAUUUUCCUGCCCCUCUUUCCCUCCUGCCCCUCUGCCACGUCCCCCUUUGUCCCCUCCUUGUCACCUUUGGGGUCCCACCUCGUGCCCCCAAACCUGGGGUGGGGUUUCAGCUUUGAGUCCCCAAGCCCUGAUGUGCCACCACCAGCUCGUGACGGGGCUGUCACCCUCCUGUCACCCUCCUGUCACCCUCUUGUCACCCUCUUGUCACCCUGCAGAGGCCACCAUUGGUCGCCGGUGUCGCCGAGGCUGCGACUUCCUCUUUUUUUUGGUCGCUUUUUGACAUCAGGGGAUUUUUGUCACCCCUGAUGUCGUGGGAACGUCCCCGAUGUCCCCUGCAGUGUCCCCAACUGCUCCAUCCCGGUGUUUUUUGCCUUUCCCUGGUGGUGCCACCUCUCCCUCGUGUCACCUCCGGGCCACCAGGGCCACCUUGCAGAGAGCAGCAAGGGCCGGUGACAGUGGUGACAAUGGUGACAAUGGUGACAAUGGUGACAAUUGUCACGGCCGCUUCUUGUCACAUCCCCCACCGCGGAGGUGACAGUCCCCCCCCCCCCCCCUCCCGCGCCACCGCCGUUCCCGAGGAUUGUCCUUGUCCCUGGAAUUUCGGGAAUGCCGGGAGGCUCCUGCGGCCUUGGGUGGCGUUUGGAGGCCACCGCGGGAGGAGCAGCGAGAUCGGGGACGGGGACACGGGACAGGGACACGGGACAGGGACAUUGGGGACAGGGACAUGGGGACAUUUGGGGGACACGGGGACAGUUGGGGGACAUUUGGGGGACACGGGGACAGUUGGGGGACANNNNNNNNNNGGGACAGUUGGGGGACAUUUGGGGGACACGGGGACAGUUGGGGGACAGUUGGGGGACAUGGGGACAGUUGGGGGACACGGGGACAGUUGGGGGACAUUUGGGGGACACGGGGACAAUUGGGGGACACGGGGACAGUUGGGGACAUUUGGGGGACACGGGGACAUUUGGGGGACACGGGGACACGGGGACAGGGACACGGGGACAUUGGGGACAGUUGGGGGACACGGGGACAUUGGGGACAGGGACACGGGGACAUUGGGGACAUUUGGGGGACACGGGGACAUUUGGGGGACACGGGGACAGUUGGGGGACAUUUGGGGGACACGGGGACACGAAGGCGCUGCCACCUCUGAGUCAACAGGAUGUGUCACCCCACCCCCCCCCCCACCGGACGUGGCCCGGUGCCAGCGUCCCCUCGUGUCACUGUCACCUCCUGCCAGCGGCCCCUGUCCCCUUUGGCGUCCUCUUGAUCCCCGCUGUGUCACCCCUGUGUCCCCUGGGUGUCCCCCCAUGUCCCCUGGGUGUCACCCCUGUGUCCCCUGGGGUGUCCCCCCUAUGUCCCCCCGUGUCCCCUGGGUGUCCCCCCAUGUCCCCUGGGUGUCCCCCUUGUGUCCUCCUUGUCCCCUGGGGUGUCCCCUGGGUGUCCCCCCAUGUCCCCUGGGGUGUCCCCUGGGUGUCCCCCUGUCCCCUGGGUGUCACCUGGGGUGUCCUCCUUGUGUCCCCCUGUCCCGGGGUGUCCCCUGGGUGUCCCCCUGUGUCCCCUGGGUGUCCCCUGGGUGUCCCCCUGUCCCUUGGGGUGUCCCCUGGGUGUCCCCCCAUGUCCCCUGGGUGUCACCCCUGUGUCCCCUGGGGUGUUCCCGGGGUGUCCCCUGGGUGUCCCCCCUAUGUCCCCCUGUCCCCUUGGUGUCCCCCCUGUGUCCCCCUUGUGUCCUCCUGUGUCCCCUGGGGUGUCCCCCCAUGUCCCCUGGGUGUCCCCCUGUCCCUUGGGAUGUCCCCCCAUGUCCCCUGGGUGUCCCCCUGGGUGUCCCCCUUGUGUCCCUCUGUCCCUUGGGUGUCCCCUGGAUGUCCCCCUGUCCCUUGGGGUGUCCUCCCUGUCCCCUGGGUGUCCCCCUGUCCCCCCCAGCCCCAUUCGUGGCCUGUCCCCGCCUCUGUCCCCUCCUUGUCCCCUCCUGUCGCCUCCUGGGCGUGCCAGGAAGCGGCUCCGGACCUGCGAUUCCCGGAAUUGGCCACUUAACUUGGAAAACCGGGGGAAAAAAAAACCCAAAAAAACCGGGAAAAACACCCAAAAAUCGCCGGGAUCGGGAUGGGCA